rnacentral:piRNA from 1 species
UCCUGUGAUUCUACUCUGUUAAACCUUGUC